CAGCCGCCACGGUAAUACGUAGGUGGCAAGCGUUGUCCGGAAUUAUUGGGCGUAAAGGGCUCGCAGGCGGUUUCUUAAGUCUGAUGUGAAAGCCCCCGGCUCAACCGGGGAGGGUCAUUGGAAACUGGGAAACUUGAGUGCAGAAGAGGAGAGUGGAGUUCCACGUGUAGCGGUGAAAUGCGUAGAGAUGUGGAGGAACACCAGUGGCGAAGGCGACUCUCUGGUCUGUAACUGACGCUGAGGAGCGAAAGCGUGGGGAGCGAACAGGAUUAGAUACCCGCGUAGUCCCUGUCUCUUAUAC
rnacentral:rRNA from 1 species